AGUGAACGCUGGCGGUAGGCCUAACACAUGCAAGUCGAACGGCAGCACAGUAAGAGCUUGCUCUUACGGGUGGCGAGUGGCGGACGGGUGAGGAAUACAUCGGAAUCUACUUUUUCGUGGGGGAUAACGUAGGGAAACUUACGCUAUUACCGCAUACGACCUACGGGUGAAAGCAGGGGAUCUUCGGACCUUGCGCGAUUGAAUGAGCCGAUGUCGGAUUAGCUAGUUGGCGGGGUAAAGGCCCACCAAGGCGACGAUCCGUAGCUGGUCUGAGAGGAUGAUCAGCCACACUGGGACUGAGACACGGACCAGACUCCUGCGGGGGGCAGCAGUGGGGAAUAUUGGACAAGGGGCGAAUGCCGGACCCAGCCAUGCCGCGUGGGUGAAGAAGGCCUUGGGGUUGAAAAGCCCUUUUGUUGGGAAAAAAGAGCAGGAGGUUAAUGCCCCGUUGUUGUGGCGGAACCCAAAGAAUAAGCCCGGGCUAUCUUCG
rnacentral:rRNA from 1 species